AGGUUGACUGAAAUGCUGGAUUACUGGAAUAGGUCAGGUACAAGUUUCCUUGGGUCUCUCUCUUUCUUCUUCAGGAAUCUCCUUGCUCUUGUAAUCGCAGAUUACAAAACAGAUUCACCUUGAGGCAUUUGUUCAGAUAAGCAGUGAAGCAGUAUUGGAGAGAGGGGAGUGAAUUAAUGUAAAUUCUGCCAUUUACCAAUAGGGAGGCAUGGCUUAUAGCCAUCAAAGUGUAGUUAUGAUAUAGCCAAGAUUCUGCUGGAAGGGAACUAUUUAUCAAAGUAAUUUAGACUAAUUCCAUGCUGGUUAUGCCACAGUGAGGUAGGAGUUAUAGAAGGCAAGGCAAAAUAGUUAGAAUUGUGAUAUAAACAGAGCCACAGUGAGGUAGGAGUUAUAGAAGGCAAAAUAGUUAGAGUUGUGAUAUAAACAUUCUAGUGGAAAUGAGCUAUUUACACAGCUAAUUCAGAUGAAUUCCAUCCUGGUUUCCACUGUGGAUAUGGUAGUUUUGAUUAUGCUAGUGGAUGAUUUAAGUAGAGGAAUGGACAGGGAUAGGGCAUCCUUGGGCCUUCAGUAUCAUUGGUCACAGAGCUCUAACUGAAUUCCUUGAUAAUCCCAAGUGAUUCUCUUGAGAGAAAGUUUGUUUUUGAAAGCAGUGUAUCAGCUCCUCAAUAAACAACUUAUAUCUAAUUUUUUUUGGAUGUGUUUCUAUUUUAGGUAUUGAUUUUAAAGCGGACUGUGUUGCAAGAUUUUAAAUAAUUCUGUAUAGAAAACCUGAAUCUGGGGGAAAAAAAGAUGGCCAAAGUUUUAGAUACCGAACAAAGACAUGAAGAAGGGCACAGUGAAUUCAGCAACAUCAUUAAAUCUAGAUCUGAUGAACAUAAAGAUGUACAAAAGAAGACAUUCACAAAAUGGAUAAAUGCCCGUUUUUCAAAGGUAAGGGUAGCUUCAAAUGAAAGGAUAUAUGAAUUGAACUACAUUAUGUAGUGUUUUCUGGUCACCAGAAAAUAAUUUUCUUUGAAUAUUUUCUUUGUAAAGUAUGUCAAAUU
rnacentral:lncRNA from 1 species